rnacentral:piRNA from 1 species
UCAUUUUCUAUUGUCUGCGAGACUUCCA